rnacentral:rRNA from 1 species
GACGAACGCUGGCGGCGUGCUUAACACAUGCAAGUCGAACGGAAAGGCCCUGCUUUUGUGGGGUGCUCGAGGGGCGAACGGGUGAGUAACACGUGAGUAACCUGCCCUUGACUUUGGGAUAACUUCAGGAAACUGGGGCUAAUACCGGAUAGGAGCUCCUGCUGCAUGGUGGGGGUUGGAAUGUUUCGGCGGUUGGGGAUGGACGCGCGGCUUACCGGCUUGUUGGGGGGGUAGUGGCUUACCAAGGCUUUGACGGGUAGCCGGCCUGAGAGGGUGACCGGCCACUUUGGGACUGAGAUACGGCCCAGACUCCUACGGGAGGCAGCAGUGGGGAAUAUUGCACAAUGGGCGGAAGCCUGAUGCAGCAACGCCGCGUGCGGGAUAACGGCCUUCGGGUUGUAAACCGCUUUCGCCUGUGACGAGGCGUGAGUGACGGUAAUGGGUGAAGAAGCACCGGCUAACUACGUG